UACGUAGGGGGCAAGCGUUGUCCGGAAUCAUUGGGCGUAAAGCGCGUGUAGGCGGCCCGGUAAGUCCGCUGUGAAAGUCGGGGGCUCAACCCUCGAAUGCCGGUGGAUACUGUCGGGCUAGAGUACGGAAGAGGCGAGUGGAAUUCCUGGUGUAGCGGUGAAAUGCGCAGAUAUCAGGAGGAACACCAAUUGCGAAGGCAGCUCGCUGGGACGGUACUGACGCUAAGGCGCGAAAGCGUGGGGAGCGAACAGG
rnacentral:rRNA from 1 species